GUGUUGAUGUAGUGAAAAACAAAAUGACCAAAAUCAUAAAAAAAAAUCAGAAAUUGUUAAACUGUUUCAUUCAGAAACACUAGUGCAAGUCGUCCUGUUGAAAUCAUCAACAUGGUUUAGCCCAAUUGGGCCCAACCCUUGUAUAAAUUUGAAAUUCAAAAUUUAAUUUUGACUUUGGUGAAGUCAAGUGUAAAACCCUAAUAGCGUUGUGCUGAUUUGCUCGAUUCUUCACAGUAGCUACUUGUUUUGUUGAGGAGACAUGAAGGUUAACCUUUUGCAUGGCAUGCAGUAGCUUCAUGGACAUGGGGUGUCGAUGAUGAAACAUGUGCGAUAUGUAAGAGGGCUUUUGAUGGUUGUUGUGAUGCUUGUAAACUCCCUGGUGAUGAUUGCCCACCAAUAUGGGGUGCUUGCAAUCACGCUUUCCAUCUUCACUGCAUUCUGAAAUGGGUGCAUUCACAGACUCCUCAGGCACAUUGUCCCUUGUGUCGCAGGGAAUGGCAAUUUAAAGAAUGAACUUGAGCUUCUUCUGAAAUUACCAUAUCGUUGUAUGAUAAAUCAUUUUUCAUGUAAACCAACAAACAUUGUGAUUUGUUUGUUAAGGGUAGUGUUCAUUUGGAUAUGAAUUACCUUUGUAUAACGGAUUGACAUUAAGCGCAGCGUAAUGUAUUUGAGUUGAUUUUAACAUUGA